UAAAUUACAAAUAAAAAUUAUUAAAUAUUUUAUUUUCCUAAAUAAAAAUAAGAGUUUUUGAAUCUGUGAAUUAUUUACAAGAAACGCCUCAAGCGACCAAGACUAGAGAACGUGACGUCACGAUGUAUUAUAUGUAAUGUCUUGUCUUUUGGUCUUGUCAUUCCGAAAAAGAUUUUGGCGCGUUUCAUUCGCAGGUUUCAUUAAUAUUUAUAUGAUUAAUUCGUGUCCAAGGUGCACUUUACCGAAAAAACACAUGGAAAUUGGUUUUAUUAAAGCUGACAGUGCAAAUUUGCCAAAAUUGAGUCUUUUAUGAUCGCAAAUUUCUUUGCCUCAAACCCGGACUUUUGUUCCGCAGAAUUUAGGAACGCGGAAACUUCAUUAUCAUCAAGACAGUUGUAUGGUGAUGAUGCUAAUUCAUAUGCUAACUCAAAUCCUAAAACAUCAAGCUGAUUACAAAGUGCCCGACAUUCUUCACUUCUCGAUGCAUUAUUAGAGCAUCAAGUAUAAGAAAGGAAGUGACUGUGAAACGUUUUUAGCCAAAAUUAAUGGUGUUUUUACACAAGAAAAUAUAAAUUUUGUGGAAAGUCUGACCCGAGCACAACACAAAACUCAAGCAUGGCAUGAGUUAAGGAAUAAAAGCAUUAAAAGCAUUUGAUGUUUCACGAUGCAAAACAACUGUUGGAUUCUUGGUUGCCUUAAUAAUGGGAGCUAAAGUACCAGAUACUCCAACCAUAAAAAGAGGAAAAUCAUUGGAAGAAGUAGUAAGAAAGGAGUUGGAAAAAAAAUAUGGCAAGAUUGCAGAAUGUGGUUUUAUUAUCAGCCAAAAAUUCCCAAUGGUAGCUGCAUCGCCAGAUGGUAUUUUAAAGAGUGACACAGUUAUUGAAAUUAAAUGUCCAAUGAGCCAAAAAAGUUUUAUAUAUUAU